GUGUCGUGAGAUUGUUUCGGUUUAAGUCCGCUAACGAGCGCCAACCCUCGUCGUAUGUUAUAUGUGUCAUACGAGACUGCCGGUAAAAGCCGGAGGAAGGUGAGGAUGAUGUCAAGUCAGCAUGACCUUUAUAUCCAGGGCUACACACACGCUACAAUGGUCUGUACAAUGGGUAGCCAAGCCGCGAGGCGGAGCCAAUCCUGGAAGCAGGCCUCAGUUCAGAUUGCAGUCUGCAACUCGACUGCAUGAAGCCGGAGUUGCUAGUAACCGCAGGUCAGCAAUACUGCGGUGAAUACGUUCCCGGGUCUU
rnacentral:rRNA from 1 species